GNUUAAUUUGAUCAUGGCUCAGAAUCCCCGCGGGGUGCGCGCUUAACACAUGCAAGUCGAACGAGAAAGUGGAGCAAUCCAUGAGUACAGUGGCGUACGGGUGAGUAACACGUGGGUAAUCUACCUUUUAGUGGGGAAUAACCCUGGGAAACCGGGGCUAAUACCGCAUAAGCUCGAGAGAGGAAAGUCGCAAGACGCUGAAAGAGGAGCCCGCGGCCGAUUAGCUAGUUGGCAGGGUAAAAGCCUACCAAGGCAGAGAUCGGUAGCCGGCCUGAGAGGGCACACGGCCACACUGGCACUUGAAACACGGGGCCCAAGACUCCUACGGGAGGCAGCAGUGGGGAAUCUUGCCAAUGGGGGAAACCCUGAUG
rnacentral:rRNA from 1 species